AGAGUUUGAUCAUGGCUCAGAACGAACGCUGGCGGCAUGCCUAAUACAUGCAAGUCGAACGAUCCUUUCGGGGAUAGUGGCGCACGGGUGCGUAACGCGUGGGAAUCUGCCCUUGGGUUCGGAAUAACUUCGGGAAACUGAAGCUAAUACCGGAUGAUGACGAAAGUCCAAAGAUUUAUCGCCCAGGGAUGAGCCCGCGUAGGAUUAGCUAGUUGGUGGGGUAAAGGCCUACCAAGGCGACGAUCCUUAGCUGGUCUGAGAGGAUGAUCAGCCACACUGGGACUGAGACACGGCCCAGACUCCUACGGGAGGCAGCAGUAGGGAAUAUUGGACAAUGGGCGAAAGCCUGAUCCAGCAAUGCCGCGUGAGUGAUGAAGGCCUUAGGGUUGUAAAGCUCUUUUACCCGAGAUGAUAAUGACAGUAUC
rnacentral:rRNA from 1 species